CCUACGGGAGGCAGCAGUGGGGAAUAUUGCACAAUGGGGGAAACCCUGAUGCAGCGACGCCGCGUGAGUGAAUAAGUAAUUCGUUAUGUAAAGCUCUAUCAGCAGGGAAGAAAAUGACGGUACCUUAGUAAGAAGCCCCGGCUAACUACGUGCCAGCAGCCGCGGUAAUACGUAGGGGGCAAGCUUUAUCCGGAUUUACUGGGGGUAAAGGGAGCGUAGACGGCAGUGCAAUUAUGGAGUGAAAGCCCGUGGCUGAACCACCGAACUGCUUUGGAAACUGUACGGCUGGAGUGCAGGAGAGGUAAGCGGAAUUCCUAGUGUAGCGGUGAAAUGCGUAGAUAUUAGGAGGAACACCAGUGGCGAAGGCGGCUUACUGGACUGUAACUGACGUUGAGGCUCGAAAGCGUGGGGAGCAAACAGGAUUAGAUACCCCUGUAGUC
rnacentral:rRNA from 1 species